rnacentral:rRNA from 1 species
GAUGAACGCUGGCGGCGUGCCUAAUACAUGCAAGUCGAGCGAACAGACGAGGAGCUUGCUCCUCUGACGUUAGCGGCGGACGGGUGAGUAACACGUGGAUAACCUACCUAUAAGACUGGGAUAACUUCGGGAAACCGGAGCUAAUACCGGAUAAUAUAUUGAACCGCAUGGUUCAAUAGUGAAAGACGGUUUUGCUGUCACUUAUAGAUGGAUCCGCGCCGCAUUAGCUAGUUGGUAAGGUAACGGCUUACCAAGGCGACGAUGCGUAGCCGACCUGAGAGGGGGAUCGGCCACACUGGAACUGAGACACGGUCCAGACGCCUACGGGAGGCAGCAGUAGGGAAUCUUCCGCAAUGGGCGAAAGCCUGACGGAGCAACGCCGCGUGAGUGAUGAAGGGCUUCGGAUCGUAAAACGCUGUUAUUAGGGAAGAACAAAUGUGUAAGUAACGAUGCACGUCUGGACGGUACCUAAACAGAAAGCCACGGCUAACUACGU